GAAGAAAAAGAAAAGAACAUAAAACGGAGGGGAAAGAAUCGAAGGAAAACAGGGGAGAGAGAGAGAUCAAAAUCUCACAAAGGGUUGAGGAAAUCUUGGGUUGGUGCUGCUUUUGGGAGCUUCACCGUGAAAAGUACCAAGAUUUGGUCAAGCGAAAUUUGGAACGGCGUACGAUCCGAUUUUAAGGAUUUGUUGUAUUUGAGUUUCGAAGAGAGAAUGAACCAGCUUCUGCCAUCCAGAGUCGUUGAGAAAUUGCAUAUCAUUUGUAGUUACAUUCUAAAUAGUGUAUUUAAGAAAGAAUUUAAAGUUAUGUUAAAAGUUAGUUUAAAAGUCUAAAAGGUUUCCGACUAUAGACUCUGCACCUAGUGGGGUCCAUGGUCGGCGCUGUCUGUUCUUGAACUAGUAGG